UGAGAUCAUACAAUGCCUAUUUUCUGACCACAGUUCUAUGAAACUAGAAGUCAACCACAAGAAAAAAAUUGGAAAGAUAAUAAAUACAUGGAGGGUAAACA